UGUCGUAGAGAAAUGGAGGACACUUUAAACCACCUGAAGAUCCUGAAUGUCUUGAGUCCUAGAGGUUUCCAUAUUCCAAAUUGUGACAAGAAGGGAUUCUACAAGAAAAAGCAAUGUCGUCCAUCCAAAGGCCGAAAAAGAGGUUAUUGCUGGUGUGUGGAUAAAUAUGGACAACCGCUUCCUGGAUAUGAUGGCAAGGGAAAAGGAGAUGUCCACUGCUAUAACUUGGAAAGCAAGUGAGGGCUGAAUGCCAAGCUCUUCUGGCAUCUGUGUGUGACAGCUGGACCUAGCAGAGACCUUGGAGGGAAGUACUGCAUUUUGCAAGGCGUUAUGGUCUCUGCUUCCUGUCUGUCUCCUGUGGUGGCUGGGGGGAUCCAGACCUCUGUGGGUUCUGCAGCUGUACCUGGCCACUGAUACGUGUUGAGCUUUCUAUAGAAUGUGUAGGGAGCUCUGAAUUCCUAUGAAAACCUGCACUAUUGACACCAAGAGAGAAAGAAAAACACAAGGCACUUCAGAAUGGAUUCAGGGAAUUUCCACUGACCUUUUAAAAAAUGGCUUGUGGCCAAUUUGAUCCUGAGAGAUUCUGGUUUAAAUUUGAAAGAAUUCGUAGAUUGAAAACUUGUAAAAAUUAAUAAAGCAACUCUGACAAUGGAAAGUAACACCCGAGGAUUUAAAGGGUAGGGAUUUUUUUUUUUUAUAAGUCUGACUUAUCUUCACGGGUAAAAUGUUUUAUAAAAAAUGUCAAAGAACUUUUUAAGAGACAUAUUUCUAAAAUAAAGACAUGGCUAUUUUUUUCUGUAAAGUGUAUUAUGAAUAUUCUGUUAGUCUGUAUUUAAUAUAAUUGUUUUAAAAUAAACUUAUUUAAAUAUAAAACGUAAAUACCAAACUAGACAAUAAUUCUAGUGUAUACUGUAUGCAAAGAGAAGGUAAGAACACGGGAUGAUUUACAAAUGUGUAUAGUUCCAUGUGCAUGCACACUGACCUAUUCUAGAUAGUAGAAAUGGACUUGUGGAGUAAAGGAAGUGUUUCCAGAAGGAAUUGUUUCAUUAUCUGAAGUAGGUACAAAUACCAUGAAAAUCUUCUAAAUUUUGUUUAUUAUUUUAUUGGUAUUUCUGAUGUACCCAUCACUGAAUUAUGCCACUGGAAAAAUUAACAGUUGCACUGAAGCUCUCUAUAAAACAUUCAUUUUUCAUCCGUCCUUAGCUUCAGUUUUUGCAACAAGGCUUAUGUUCUGUCUGUUUCCUUCAGGUCUCCUCAUGUUAGUAUAAAAAGUUUAUGGACAAAAAGAUGCCAUUACAGUACCAGCCUUUCUGUUUGCUGACUUACUUUUAAAAACUGUGUCUACUCUGUGUUGUCUUAAUAUACUCUAACAAAGCACACAUUCACCGUGAGGAACUUAUGUUUUAUGUUUAAAACAGUGCAGAUGAGGGGACUAUGUACUUGGCUGUUGAGACCUGUGUGCUCUGUUUAUACUAAACAUAAUAGUUUUUUUCCUUUGACUUCGAUAGAAAUUAUUUGCCUGUAUUUAAGCAUAGAGUGAGAAGCACAGUUUAAAUAUCCAAACCACCUGCCAUGACAUUAUAUGUCCUUUUAAUUGGAAGAUAGGUGUUUUGGUUUUAUUCUAAUAGGUGAUGCUUUUAUGUUAAAAAAAAAGAAAAAGAAAAAAAAAAAAAAGUCUUUGGCAGUUUUGCUUUUGUUUUGUUUUGGCCGAUGGUUUAUUGAAAUUUAUGGGGGGAAAAAAACCAAACUGUAUGACAGUGAAACCUGGUAAGGAAAGGUGGCCUGUGAAGUGUACCAGCUCUCUGGAAAGUAAUGCCAUACUUUGUAUAUAUAUUUAUUUAUAUAUUUUAUAUAAAUAUCAUAUAUAUUUAUAUAAAUAUAUAAUAUAUUCUUGUAUGUGUCACUAUAAAUGUUUGAUGUCAACAUAAUUAAAAAACAAAAAAAACAAUUACAUCAUCAUUGCAAUUUCCUUUUGGGUUGGGAGUUUGGAGAAUGAGAGCAGUACUCUCGUGUGCCUUUCCAACUAUUGCAGCCAGUGGUUUUGCUGAUGGAUGGGAGACCGUGAGGUCAAAGAGCCUGCUCCUCUCCCACCCUGCAAGUUGCAGCAGUCCUUUUUUCAUGCCAGCACUGGCAAAUGUCUUGAAAAUCUGAUGUGGAAAGAUCUGGAUACACAACUUGAAGGGUCAAGAUAGCAAUCGCUUCAAACCAAAUGUUUAAAAUUUUACCUGGACAUGUAUUAGCUACCCUGUUUGAAUUCUUUGCAUAUUCCUAAUCUAUAUCUAAUGAAAUGGAUUCUCAUCAUUGUUAAAACUUAAAUUUUAAACUUAACAGUAAGAAUAUAGGGCGUGUGAAGUUAUGCUUAGGCCGGGCUUAUACAGGCUUAUUGGUGGAUGGUUACAUUGAGCUUUGUGAGUUGAAGAUUUAUUGCAAUAGUUUUACUGCUACUGCAAAUAUAAUGCCUGCGAAGAUUUGUUGGCUAAACAAAUGAAUAAAUGAUGAGCUCUUCUCCUUAUUUCUUUUUUUUCUUUUCUUUUGAGUUGUAAACCAGUUCAUUUCAAAUACAUACACAUGGAGAGUAAAGUUACAUUUAACAGUGUUUGCUCAUGUAAUAGACGGUAAGUGCUGGAUUCAUAAAAAUGGGUUAUUAGUAGUUCCAUUUUUUUUUUUUCCAUCUGUACCUCAUGAGCCCUCUGAGAAAGGAAACCAACCUCUCUUGUAUUUCUUGCCUGUGAUUUCAAGCUACAUCAUGCAGAAAUUGCCUGUAAGUAUUCCUUAAGAGUAUGAUUGCUUGCACGAGUACUGGACACUUACUGUUUUGUUCAUGUUCCUGGCAGCUGGCAUUCUUGUUGUUAAAUAUUAACUUUAUUUCCUUGUAUCCCUACAGGGUAAAGAAGAUCAGUGGUAGUUUGAAUUUUUUUUUUUUUAAUUAAUUAAUUAAUUAAUUAUGAGUAGUCCUAUUUCUAUGAAAACAAAGGUUCAGUUCAGCAGACAAGUUGCACAUCAUUCAGAGGUUCUUGUCAUGGCUGUGGGAGUCAGGCUGCAAUUCAAGCAAGAUUAUUUAUGGGCUACAUAGACUGUGGACAACAUGGAGCAAAUGUAUGGACCUAUAUGGAGAGAGGAGUUGGACUCCAAGGAACCUGCUUUAGAGGAGUUGGACUAGAUGAUCUCCAGAGGACUCCAGGGGUCCCUUCCAACUCCUGAUUCAGUGAUUUUUGUGGAUCCCUGCCAACUUAGGAUAUUCUACGAUUCUAGGAUCUAUGAAGAACUCUCACCAUACUUAAUUCCAAGGAAGCCUCUGCAAAUGCAGGAUUUCCUGACAGCCAAAUGCAGCCAGACUCAAUUUACACCAGAUCAGCAGCAGAACAUGCAAGCUGAAGUGACUUGUUAUGAAACAUAUCUAAAUGAAUUAAAGCAAAAGAACCAUAAGUGAUCAAACG